rnacentral:lncRNA from 1 species
GAGUAUCGGGCUAGAAGGCACCGGGGAAUGAUUGUGCUGUGCCAAGCUUUUCUGACCACGUCCACAAUAGAUGGGUGCCUAAACCUAAAUUCAUGGAACCGGAAAGGGAGCCUUCGAGGACCAGGGUCUGGGUCAGUCGAGAUAAGUAAAGGAUUUAGAUCUUAUUUAGCUCUAGCGAGAUGAUUCACCGUAGUAUCACUAAAACGAACUCUCCAAUCGCCAUUAGCAAGAGGGUUGGUGUGGCCAGACGCUCAGCUCUACUAAAAGAGGUAAGGGAUAGCGAAGGCAGGAAAAGCAUGGAGUAAGCUCUUUAUUGGUUUAUCUUAUUACUAUAGGUGUUUCGAAAGUUGGAAGUCACUCACUACUAGUUGCGGCUACGUUGCUUGGCUACUUGACUUUCACUAUAGGGACAGUUUAGAGUCAAGGCAAAACUAGUAACGACUCACUAACGCAUCCCGAGAAUAUUCCUUAGCACACAACGGCAGAAGCCAACAAACACGGAAUUUCAUCUAGUGCACACAUCUUUGAUUAUUAAAGGACAGAGGCC